UUAUGGCCAUAUCACAUUGAAACACUGGUUCCUGUACGAUCACCAAAGUUAAGCCAAGUUGAGCCAGGUCAGUACCUAGAUGAGUGUCUGCUUGGGAAUACCAGGUGCUGUAAG